UUGGUCACAUGUUGAAUUAAUUGCACGCACCGGGCGGGAAUCUUAACGGAAGGUCGUCUGCUGAUCCUUUGUUUGGAAAGAGAAGCCAGCGAGGAAGGACUGUUCGUUAUUUUGUCACGAAAAGGAAUCUCACUAUAACAAUCAUCAUGCCUGGAACAAAGACCGACGUUGAAGUUGAAAGUACCGAAACAACUGAGACCACCGAAACUACCCCAACGGUGGCAAAAACAGUUGAAGAUGUCAAGGAAUUAAAAGAAGGGAAAAGUGAAACUAAAGAAGCAGAAAGUACAGAAGCCGAGGCAGAGGCAAAAGCAGAAUCUGCUACCACAGAGGAAACAGAAGCCACAGAAAAAUCAGAAAAUACAAAUCAAAAUGCUGCUACAGAAUCUAAAGAUGCUGACAGUAAAACAGAAACAACAGAAUCAACAACUGAAAAACGAUCAUCCGAGGAAGCAAAUGGAGAAGAUGAAAGUCCCACAAAAAAAGUGAAAUCAAACAACGGUGACACGACUGCAGAGGCUGAGAAAGCUGAUGCGUAGUUUAUUUAUUUUAUAUACAUAGAAACUUUAAAAAUUCAUAUCAUAGGGUUAUAAACUCACAACCUCAAAGUCAAGGGUCCUCAUUAUACCAUAUUGAAUCAAGUUGUAAAAUUUGUGUCGUCCGUUUCAUUAAUUACUAGUUGUUUUCUGUAUGUAAUAAAUCUUAUUAUGGACAUUA